rnacentral:rRNA from 1 species
UACGAAGGGGGCUAGCGUUGUUCGGAAUUACUGGGCGUAAAGCGCACGUAGGCGGACAUUUAAGUCAGGGGUGAAAUCCCAGAGCUCAACUCUGGAACUGCCUUUGAUACUGGGUAUCUCGAGUAUGGAAGAGGUGAGUGGAAUUCCGAGUGUAGAGGUGAAAUUCGUAGAUAUUCGGAGGAACACCAGUGGCGAAAGGCG